ensembl:lncRNA
AUGUUUCCUCAUUACAUUCCCCAAAGUGGGAGGUUGUUUUCCUCUCAUGUAGCAUUUUUCCAGUGUGUGAAAAUCUCUGGCCUCAAAGCACACUUGUGGGAACCCAUAAUUGAGUCUGAAAUCAUCCAACAGCAGCAGAAAGUUCUUACAGCCCUGAGAGCCUCAGGGAACCAGGACGCUUACAGAACCUUGCUGAAAAACACGGGAUCUACAGCUAAAGCCAGAAAAUCCCCAGAGACCAUCUGGACCAACCCCUCCUCUCACAGCUUCCUAUGGGACCAUGGACUCUUGCAUAAGUCCAAACACACCAGCAGCUCAUCUAAAACCUGGGAAUUACUGGUCUUCCACCAUUGACAAGGCUGCAGCUCUUCAGAAUGACUGCUUCCAGUGGUCAGAUCUCAACUCCUUGACAGGUAUCAGCCCUUCUGGAAAUACUAUAUCAAAGUCUGUAGAACUGCACAGUAAAUCGAAUGCAUUGUAAAUCCCACACAUAGUCUCUGUUUUACUAAAAAUGAAUAAUAUAUUUGUACUUAUUUGUUAAUAAAUAACAUUUGAUCUUAAAAUCAAAAAGACAUGGAACCUAAGCUAUUGUAUCUCUCUCACUACACUUGUAAUUUCAUACAAAUGAUUUAAGAAUCCAGAUAGACCAGCCUGACCAACAUGGAGAAACCCUGUCUCUACUAAAAAUACAAAAUUAGCCAGGUGUGGUGGCACAUGCCUGUAAUCCCAGUUGCUCAGGAGGCUUAGUCAGGAGAAUUGCUUGAACCCAGCAGGCGGAAGUUGCGGCGGUGAGCUGGAGAUCGCGCCACUGCACUCCAGCCUGGGCAACAAGAGUGAAACUCCGUCUCAAAAAAAAAAAAAAAAGAAAUCCAGAUAAUAUAAUCUACAAAAGAAGAAAAUGUUAAUACACAUUAAGCAACUACUGACAAAAGUAUUACUUUAGUAUAUGUCAAUCUGAAAAUUAAAUAUACCAAUAAGGUCAGUUGUCUGAAAGGAAAUUAGGUUGAGCAAGAGCUACAUAUAAGAGGAAAAAGGCCCUACUGUGAAAUGGCCACAGUGAGGAAGAAAUCCUAGGGUCAUCACAGGAUAACAAGGCAAUGGGGCACCAUGACAAGGUCCAAUAUAUGCAGCAGACGGAUCUCUUUCUCUCUCCCUCUCUCUCUCUCUUUUUCCCCCUCUCCCCUCCUCCACUCUCAGUUAUGGAAAAGUGUAAAUAUUUCCCUCUCCUAAAUCCAAGAGAAUAGAAGAUGAGAUAGAGAUAAAGCCAGUAAGCCAAAAAAUACAUAGUGUGAUAAAAGAAAUAAGAAAUAUCAAGUAAAAAAAGUCCUUCUAUCCUGAGACUUUGUUGAAGUUGCUUAUCAGCUUAAGGAGAUUUGGGGCUGAGGCGAUGGGGUUUUCUAAAUAUACAAUCAUGUCACCUGCAAACUGAGUUCCUCUUUUCCUAAUUGAAUACCCUUUAUUUCUUUGUCCUGCCUGAUUGCCCUGGCCAGAACUUCCAACACUAUGUUGAAGAGGAGCGGUGAGAGAGGGCAUCCCUGUCUUGUGCCAGUUUUCGAAGGGAAUGCUUCCAGUUUUUGCCCAUUCAGUAUGAUAGUGGCUAUGGGUUUGUCAUAAAUAGCUCUUAUUAUUUUGAGAUACACCCCAUCAAUACCUAAUUUAUGAAGAGUUUUUAGCAUGAAAGGCUGUUAAAUUUUGUCAAAGGCCUUUUCUGCAUCUAUUGAGAUAAUCAUGUGGUUUUUGUCUUUGGUUCUGUUUAUAUGCUGGAUUAUGUUUAUUGAUUUGCAUAUGUUGAACCAGCCUUGCAUCCCAGGGAUGAAGCCCACUUGAUCAUGGUGGAUAAGCUUUUUGAUGUGCGGCUGGAUUCGGUUUGCCAGUAUUUUAUUGAGGAUUUUUACAUCGAUGUUCAUCAGGGAUAUUGGUCUAAAAUUCUCUUUUUUUGUUGUGUCUCUGCCAGGCUUUGGUAUCAGGAUGAUGCUGGCCUCAUAAAAUGAGUUAGGGAGGAUUCCCUCUUUUUCUAUUGAUUGGAAUAGUUUCAGAAGGAAUGGUACCAACUCCUCCUUGUACCUCCGAUAGAAUUCGGCUGUGAAUCCGUCUGGUCCUGGACUUUUUUUGGUUGGUAGGCUAUUAAUUAUUGCCUCAAUUUCAAAGCCUAUUAUUGGUCUAUUCAGGUAUUCAACUUUUUCCUGGUUUAGUCUUGGGAGGGUGUAUGUGUCCAGGAAUUUAUCCAUUUCUUCUAGAUGUUCUAGUUUAUUUGCAUAGAGGUGUUUAUAGUAUUCUCUGAUGGUAGUUUGUAUUUCUGUGGGAUCGGUGGUGAUAUCCCCUUUAUCAUUUUUUAUUGCAUCUAUUUGAUUCUUCUCCCUUUUCGUCUUUAUUAGUCUUGCUAGUGGUCUAUCAAUUUUGUUGAUCUUUUCAAAAAAAACCAGUUCCAGGAUUCAUUGAUUUUUUGAAGGGUUUUUUGUGUCUCUAUCUCCUUCAGUUCUGCUCUGACUUUAGUUAUUUCUUGCCUUCUGCUAGCUUUCGAAAUCACAAGCAUUCUUAUACACCAGUAACAGACAGAGAGCCAAAUCAUGAGUGAACUCCCAUUCACAAUUGCUUCAAAGAGAAUAAAAUACCUAGGAAUCCAACUUACAAGGGAUGUAAAGGACCUCUUCAAGGAGGAAGACAAACCACUGCUCAAUGAAAUAAAAGAGGAUACAAACAAAUGGAAAAACAUUCCAUGCUCAUGGAUAGGAAGAAUCAAUAUUGUGAAAAUGGCCAUACUGCCCAAGGUAAUUUAUAGAUUCAUUGCCAUCCGCAUCAAGCUACCAAUGACUUUCUUCACAGAAUUGGAAAAACUACUUUUAAAUUCAUAUGGAACCAAAAAAGAGCCCGCAUUGCCAAGACAAUACUAAGCCAAAAGAACAAAGCUGGAGUCAUCAUGCUACCUGACUUCAAACUAUACUACAAGGCUACAGUAACCAAAACAGCAUGGUACUGGUACCAAAACAGAGACAUAGACCAAUGGAACAGAACAGAGCCCUUAGAAAUAAUACCACACAUCUACAGCUGUCUGAUCUUUGGCAAACCUGACAAAAACAAGAAAUGAGGAAAGGAUUCCCUAUUUAAUAAAUGGUGCUGGGAAAACUUGCUAGCCAUAUGUAGAAAGCUGAAAUUGGAUCCUUUCCUUACACCAUAUACAAAAAUUAAUUCAAGAUGGAUUAGAGACUUAAAUGUUAGACCUAAAACCAUAAAAACUCUAGAAAACCUAGGCA